rnacentral:rRNA from 1 species
AUUGAACGCUGGCGGCAGGCCUAACACAUGCAAGUCGAGCGAGCGGCGGACGGGUGAGUAAUGUCUGGGGAUCUGCCUGAUAGAGGGGGAUAACUACUGGAAACGGUGGCUAAUACCGCAUACUAUCGGAUGAACCCAUAUGGGAUUAGCUAGUAGGUGGGGUAAAGGCUCACCUAGGCGACGAUCCCUAGCUGGUCUGAGAGGAUGACCGGCCACACGGGAACUUAGACACGGCCCAGACUCCUACGGGAGGCAGCAGUGGGGAAUAUUGCACAAUGGGCGCAAGCCUGAUGCAGCCAUGCCGCGUGUAUGAAGAAGGCCUUAGGGUUGUAAAGUACUUUCAGCGGGGAGGCGUUACCCGCAGAAGAAGCACCGGCUAACUACGUGCCAGCAGCCGCGGUAAUAC